UACGAAGGGGCUAGCGUUGCUCGGAAUCACUGGGCGUAAAGCGCACGUAGGCGGAUUGUUAAGUCAGGGGUGAAAUCCUGGAGCUCAACUCCAGAACUGCCUUUGAUACUGAAGAUCUUGAGUUCGGGAGAGGUGAGUGGAACUGCGAGUGUAGAGGUGAAAUUCGUAGAUAUUCGCAAGAACACCAGUGGCGAAGGCGGCUCACUGGCCCGAUACUGACGCUGAGGCACGAAAGCGUGGGGAGCAACAGGG
rnacentral:rRNA from 1 species